rnacentral:rRNA from 1 species
UCUGGCGGCAGGCCUAACACAUGCAAGUCGAGCGCUACCUUCGGGUGGAGCGGCGGACGGGUUAGUAACGCGUGGGAACGUACCCAGAUCUAAGGAAUAGCCACUGGAAACGGUGAGUAAUACCUUAUACGCCCUUCGGGGGAAAGAUUUAUCGGAUUUGGAUCGGCCCGCGUUAGAUUAGAUAGUUGGUGGGGUAAUGGCCUACCAAGUCUACGAUCUAUAGCUGGUUUUAGAGGAUGAUCAGCAACACUGGGACUGAGACACGGCCCAGACUCCUACGGGAGGCAGCAGUGGGGAAUCUUGGACAAUGGGCGCAAGCCUGAUCCAGCCAUGCCGCGUGAGUGAUGAAGGCCUUAGGGUCGUAAAGCUCUUUCGCCAGAGAUGAUAAUGACAGUAUCUGGUAAAGAAACCCCGGCUAACUCCGUGCCAGCAGCCGCGGUAAUACGGAGGGGGUUAGCGUUGUUCGGAAUUACUGGGCGUAAAGCGUACGUAGGCGGAUUAGUCAGUCAGAGGUGAAAUCCCAGGGCUCAACCCUGGAACUGCCUUUGAUACUGCUAGUCUUGAGUUCGAGAGAGGUGAGUGGAAUUCCAAGUGUAGAGGUGAAAUUCGUAGAUAUUUGGAGGAACACCAGUGGCGAAGGCGGCUCACUGGCUCGAUACUGACGCUGAGGUACGAAAGUGUGGGGAGCAAACAGGAUUAGAUACCCUGGUAGUCCACACCGUAAACGAUGAAUGCCAGUCGUCGGGCAGUAUACUGUUCGGUGACACACCUAACGGAUUAAGCAUCCG